UGUUUGGGGAUUAUCCCCCCCCCGGUCUAGUUAAAAUGGUAUAGCCCAAGAGGCAAGGUGCGGCUUGCCACCAUUACUGUCAGUUGCCAUUCAUGCUACUAAAGCAUCAGUCAAACGCCAUCAUGACUUGUGUCAUUAAUAAACCAAACA